GUGCGAAAGCGUGGGGAGCAAACAGGAUUAGAUACCUGGUAGUCACGCUGUAAACGAUGUCGACUUGGAGGUUGUGCCCUUGAGGCGUGGCUUCCGGAGCUAACGCGUUAAGUCGACCGCCUGGGGAGUACGGCCGCAAGGUUAAAACUCAAAUGAAUUGACGGGGGCCCGCACAAGCGGUGGAGCAUGUGGUUUAAUUCGAUGCAACGCGAAGAACCUUACCUACUCUUGACAUCCACGGAAUUCGCCAGAGAUGGCUUAGUGCCUUCGGGAACCGUGAGACAGGUGCUGCAUGGCUGUCGUCAGCUCGUGUUGUGAAAUGUUGGGUUAAGUCCCGCAACGAGCGCAACCCUUAUCCUUUGUUGCCAGCACGUAAUGGUGGGAACUCAAAGGAGACUGCCGGUGAUAAACCGGAGGAAGGUGGGGAUGACGUCAAGUCAUCAUGGCCCUUACGAGUAGGGCUACACACGUGCUACAAUGGCAUAUACAAAGAGAAGCGAACUCGCGAGAGCAAGCGGACCUCAUAAAGUAUGUCGUAGUCCGGAUUGGAGUCUGCAACUCGACUCCAUGAAGUCGGAAUCGCUAGUAAUCGUAGAUCAGAA
rnacentral:rRNA from 1 species